rnacentral:rRNA from 1 species
GAUGAACGCUGGCGGCGUGCCUAAUACAUGCAAGUCGAACGCAUUGUGGUUGAAAUGAUAUGAAGAACUUGUUCAGAUUUGAUUUUCAACAUUGCAAUGAGUGGCGAACGGGUGAGUAACACGUGGGAAACCUACCUCUUAGCAGGGGAUAACAUUUGGAAACAAAUGCUAAUACCGUAUAAUAAUUAAAACCGCAUGGUUUUAGUUUAAAAGAUGGUCUUGCUAUCACUAAGAGAUGGUCCCGCGGUGUAUUAGUUAGUUGGUGAGGUAAUGGCUCACCAAGACAAUGAUACAUAGCCGAGUUGAGAGACUGACCGGCCACAAUGGGACUGAGACACGGCCCAUACUCCUACGGGAGGCAGCAGUAGGGAAUCUUCCACAAUGGACGAAAGUCUGAUGGAGCAACGCCGCGUGUGUGAUGAAGGGUUUCGGCGUCGUAAACACUGUUGUAAGAGAAGAAUGACAUUGAGAGUAACUGUUCAAUGU